rnacentral:lncRNA from 1 species
UUAUUAUAAAAAUUAUAAUGGAUAAAAAUACAAUUUAAAUGAAAUAAUAAGGGUAAAAUUGGAAGAAAAAGUGAGAAGCUAUAAGCUCAAACGCUAUUUGGAAUAGCUUCUGAAAAAUAGCUUAUAAGCUCGUGAAAUAAGCUAUAAGCUCAUGGUGAAAAAGUGUUACCAAACAGAGCUUUUUUUUGUCAAACAAACUUAUAAGCUAUAAGCUAAAAACUAAAAGCUCUUUUUUUGGUUUCCCAAACAGACCCUUAUUUGUUUUUUCAUGUUGGUUGUUAUAUUUAUAUAACUGACAGAUGUUGGUAGGAUGAAACAUGGUAUGGUAGGGAGGAGGGGCCUUGUAUAGUUCUGUACUCAAAGAGCGUGCAUUAAAUAAUCCUCCAAAACCUGACCAAAAGAAAAUGAAAAAAAAAAUAAUCCUCCAAAAUAAUGCUGUACGAGAGUUGGAGACUCAAUUGAAGCCAGGGGCGGAGCCCUUGAUGGGACCCGGAAAAAAAAAAAAAAAAAAUCAACGCAGGUGUAUUUGCGAUAUUUUAAACAAUUUUACUACGAUUUUAGUGUUCUAUAGAUCCAAAUCUUCACUCAUUAGUUUAGUGGCCCAUCUGAAAAAUUAAAAAAAAAAAUCUUUUAGGUCUGUUUUGAAAGGUUUUAAACAAUAUUCAACGGUUUAGAUUUUCAACGAUUCUAAAAGUGACAUAUGUGAUUUUUUUCAUGCUUAUAUUUGACUGGUUAGUGAAGGUUUACAAACCUUCUGAUUUUUGGGGGUUUCAAAUCUCUUUUAUAUUGUCUAUCAAUUGAAAAUUUCUCCAAUUAAGAGUUGUAUUAUAAAAAAAAAUCAUAAUUUAUAGCAUUAGUAAACUAUGUAAUUAAUUUUUUUAAAGCAUUCACAUGAACUUUUUAGUCAAACUUUGCAAUUCAACUUCAUGCUUAAUGCUUUUUACUACUUUAAUUUUAUGUUUAUAUAUUAUCGUUUAUAGUUUAUUUUAGCAACUCACCCUAAUUAUUUUUUCUGACCCCGUCACUGAUUGAAGCCUCUAGUUCACAUGCUUGAGAGCCUUCACAGGCUCAAUAGAAGUCUCCUUUGUUUAUGUAAUUAGACUAAGUUGUUUUGAGUUAUGUUUUCUUAGUUAUGUUUUCAUAUCAUAUAAUGAUCUUUGAAAUAUUUCUAUUGCAUAAAAACUAUAGGUGGAAAGUGGCUUGGAACAAGUUAGUAUUUUAAAGAACUUUAAAAAUCACUUUUAUUCUAUUUUGAUUCAAAUCAUUUUUUAUUAAGUGCAAUAUGAUUAGAAUCAUUUUUCCUUCUAUUAUAUUUAUCUCUGACCGCACAAUUCAAAUAAUUUUUUGUGAAGAACAAAAAGAUUUGAAUCAUUUUUCUUCUCAAACUUUUUGUUGUGGGAGUUUUCAAAUCAAAUCUAUGAUGAUUCGAAUCAUUCUUCAUCCAAUCAUUCUUCAUGUGCUUCGGUUGAUUCUUCAUGCAAAUUCAAAAUUCAUUUAUUCACAUAUGAUUCGAAUCAUAUGAGAUUUUUCAAUUAUUUAUGAGCUUUAAUAUGUUCUAAACUACUACGUCUCAAUUUUACACUCGCUCUCCCAAAACUUCUCUCUCUACAAACUCUUGUUUAAGGACUUUCACGAGAAUCAAUGUAACAAUUGUGUUCAUUCAAGAAUCUUAAUCGUGGAAUCAAGGUUCCAAAGUUAAGGAAGUGGAUCUUUCCUUCUUCAAAGGGAAAUUAAAGGAAGUUUCAAUCAUUAAAAGAUUCUUGAUGAAGAAUGCUCAUGAAAUGCUUGAAUAUUUGAAAACCAAAGAAAACACGGGUGCGGCGCUAUUGCCAUCUUCUUUCACAACCUCGGAUGGGGUGACGCGCACCACCAGCUUUCAAAGGCUAUAUCUUGGAUGUUGAAGUUUGAAUUAAAAGGGAAGAAGGAAAACAGAGUGGCAGUUAUACAUAUAACUUAGAUAAACUAUAAAUCAACAAUUUGCUGAAUUACUUUUGGUACUGUACGUACCUAAACCUUUUUUUUGGUUGAGGAAACAAGUGCAGCAGAUGGAACAGGUUGAUACAGAAGCAGCAACUCAAAGAUGGAUUGCACCGAAUGUGGGAGAACUGAAAUGAAAUGUGGAUGAGGCCAUUUGAAAUGAUAAGAAUGUUUUUGUGUAGGAAUGUGUGUCCGUGACAAAAAAGGAAAAUUUGUAUGUGCUUUAGUGUGAUAUCUGGGCUUAAAACAUGGGGUUUAAAGCAUGCUUUAAUUUAGUGUGGCUUAUGACAAGGGCUACUCCAAAGUGUCAAUUGAACUAGACUGCCACAUUAGUCCGGGAUCGUUUGGAGGGAAGAUUAGGUCAUAGAACAUAUAUAGUAGGGUAAUAUUUUACGUGCUAGUAGAUCAAUCUUGUAUUCUAUACCAAACUUUCGGAUAAAUUUUACACGGAGAUAAACCAAUAAUAUUGCAUAUCUUCUAUCUAGUAUGACAUUGUCUUGUACUAUUUCUUAAGUUUUUGAUUAUAUUCCUCCAUAUAUUAUUACUACCUUGAUGAAUGAAAUAAUUUAAUUAUAUUGCUG